UGAAAUCGCUAAACUUCACUUUUAGUCGUAUAUUAUUUUAUUUCACACUCGCCCAAAUUCUAGUUAAAUAUGUAAUCUCAUUACGUUUUUAAGUUUAUUGGAGCCUGAUGGAUUCAGCGGCACGUACAACAGCAAAUCAAUUGGCUGACACAGAGUCAAUUGUUGACAUAAUUGCAGCAUAACAGGAGCAUGUUAGGGCUUAUGAGACAACAACAAUAAAGAUGACAACAAAGUGCUGGCAGUCCCAUUCGCACAGCAGCAGUAGCGCCAGGGCCAGAACACAGCGACCCUGGCUAGCUUUUAUUAUUCCGCUAAAUUGAUUUUGAAUUUAGUUCAAUGUUUAUGGUCAAAUGGUUGCGUUUUUGUGUCACCAGCCUUGGUGCGGAAAUAGCAGCACCGUCUGAUAUGUGGAUUUAUACAGUACCAAUAAUGGCUUGGCAUAGGAAUGGACGCAACUCCACCAUCCGCCUUCCGCUUUCCACCUUCCACCUUCCACCUUCACCUUGCCCUAUCUAUUUUGGGAGCAGCUAGUGAGCUAGGCGAGACCGGGCGCCGAGUAUACGGCCUGGCAGCUCCUAGAAGCGAUAAGUCUCAGGGGCCCAAAAUAAAUACACCUAUGCCUAGGCCUAUGCCAUGAAGACCCCGGACGAGGUAAAAAUGAAAAGCGUUCGAGAGUAAUCCCCAAUCGAUUUUCAAGCACAUUCAAUAAUGGUUCAGCGGCCAUUUUGCGAGCGAGCUAAAGGCGUUUUUUUUGAAUGCGGCCCAUGCCCAACGUAAGCGAGUUUAUACAUUUUUUAUUUAUUUCAUAUCCAUUAAGUUCAAAGCGGAAUGUGUUAGAG